AGGAUGAUACGGCCGUGCUGCUCGACUUGGCGGCGGCACUGCCGUGCCUCCAGAUGACUUAUUCUAACUUACUUAAAUCUUGAUUCAGAUAUUGAUCCUUGGAUUAUUUUGUACCGUUAUUUUCACUCCUACUUUAUUGUUUCCGCCACACUACAGAUGGUAGAUAUCCGGCUACAACUAGAUGCCAUAAUACAACUCAUCGGAACGGAAUUAAGAGCUACCCGUUUCAAAUAUGCAGUAACCUUAAAAUCUAAAGUCAAAACUGUCCAAUAUGAAACACCAGUGGCAGGAGUACAGGUAGAAUGCUGUAAAUGAAGGAAAGAUAAUCUGGGAGCCCAGGUGAGCGAAGGAGACAUACUCUAUGCCAGGGACGAAGAAAUGCUAGAAGUAACAGUAGCUAUAAAGAAAAAAUUGAGAAAGGAUAUUUAUUUUUAAUUUAUUUUCCAUUUCCCUUUUCUGAAAUAGUAGAACUGAAAGAAAUAUAACAUUACAUAAUUCAUAAUUCAAACCUGGAGAAAUCGAUUAGAAUUAUCUUUUAUUCCUAGGUGGUCAAUUAUCAUGGCAGAAGGGUGGAGCGACGGUUGGGGAGAUAAUACUCCCAUGGGCUCACCAUGGGAAUCUUCGCCAGCCUCCACGUCCCCACAACAACGGAAUACAGCUACGACUCAACGGAUAGAACCGGCUGUCAUCAGUCGAGCGAUCAUUCGAGGGGAACUGAUCAACUCAGAAAAUUCAAAUGAUUUGAAGAUGCAAUCUUACUAUCGGUAGGAAUAAAUCCACCCAGAUGCAUGCAAGUGCAGUUGGCUCACUUCCACAUCAAGAAUGAAAUCUCUAACGUAUCUAAAGCUACCGAAUCUUCUCUAUCUUCAACCAUACAGCAAAAUUUUUCCGCAAGACGCCAACAAAUAGACAAGUAGAAAUAUCAAAUUCAGAAAUAAAUUACUAAGAGAACUCAAUAUUAUCAAACCAAAUUACUUCCGACGAAAGGUCCGGAAAUAACGGCUCAACUGCUAUCCCGGCUCGCAUCGUUGGGACAGGUAGAGUGCCUCGCCGUUAGAAAAAAAAUACUAUUCUACAUCUACAUAAUUAUAUAGGGUAUAUAUAUAUAGAUACAUAUUUUUAUAUUUAUGCAAUCCUGUAGUAAUGAAUUAUACACAUUUAGCGAAUUUUAAUUACUUAAUAUUAUUACAUUUAUAUCAUAUAACCAUGUCCAUAUAUAUAUCCAUGUAUAUCUCAAAUUCAUAUUUCAUCACAAUAAAUAUUUCUUUUUCUUUAUCUUGCCUCUUCACUUUAUGUCGAAUCCGCAUUCAGAAGAGAGUCGGUCGGUUCUUACGCGAAGAUUAACUCCGCGAGAAAGAGUUCUAGGAUAAAUAAUUGUAAGAAAAGAAAUUAAUAUUCAAAAUGAAUCUACAGAUGUAGAUCAUUUUAGAAAGUGAGGAGUAUUGUGAGGGACAGGAGCGCAGAUUGUAUGUGGUGUCUGUCUCCUCCC
rnacentral:lncRNA from 1 species